GCCAGCAUGUAGCACACACUUGUGGUCCCAGCUACUUGGGAGGCUGAGGCAGGAGGAUCACUUGAGGCCAGGACUUCAAGGUCAGCCUGGACAACAUAGUGAGAAUCUGUCUCAG
rnacentral:sRNA from 1 species